rnacentral:lncRNA from 1 species
GUGGAGGUUGUAGCCUUGUCAUUUGGGGAUGGGCACAGGAGAGAGGGCUGGUGUUGCUGAGCAGGAGUGAGAAGGAGGGACUUAAUGACAUGUUUGACCUCCUCCCCUUCAGAAAAAUCAAUUUGCAAUACCCUCCAACCCCACCCUGCUGCAUCAAUCCAGGCCUCAGGAAAAUCCUGGCAUGAGAGAGAGAUGAUUCUACUCUCACACUCAUGCACACACUCAUACAAAUGCUCACACACACAUGCUCACACAUGUGACUGCACACAUUCAUGUACAUUUACACACACACGACUGCACACACUCACACUUGCACACACACUCACAUGUGCUCGCCCAGGUGCACUCACACCAGCUCAGAGUGUUCCCAAUCCCACAUGCCCUCACACUGAUCCAUGCCCGUGCAGACUUGUGCUUGGUCAGACCAUGCUCACACUGGUGCAUGCUCACACUCACAUGCUCUCACUUGAGCUCCCAUGUACUGACACAUGCUCCCAUGCAAACAUACACUCUAACACCUUCACCUGGGUCCCCAGAUCUCCCAGAGCCCCUCCCUCAUCCAGCACUGACCCAGCCAGUGUGGGAAUGUCUUGGCCUGAAGAGGGCGCUGCCCCGCCUGGUAACUGUGAAGAUACUGCAAGCUGUGAGUUAAUGCCCCCCACCCCCCUCCGCACCCCAACCCAAACCAGCCCAGCCUCCCACAUAGCAGGAAAGAGAUAUGGGGACAUUGUUUCUGGUCACCUGCUCCUACCCAGCAGUGCCCCUCCCUCUGCACAAGCCUAUCCUCCACUACCUCCCCCCCACACUCCUUGGAGGCAUAGCCAUGGGUACAGGGCCCAGUUCCGCAUUUGGUGCUUGGGGAUAUUUCUGGAGAGCAUCCCCUGUGACAUAGGGGGUUGUCAUCUCUCCUUUUGGGUUGUAAAUAUUUUAGUACCAAGCAGAACACAAGUGUUUGUUUCAGGUUUAUUUGUUUGUAUGUUAGUUUUUUACACUGAAAAUGGCCCAUCUUAGAUCCAGAUAAUCUGUGUCUGACGUGAAUGUACAAAUCGCAGC